rnacentral:rRNA from 1 species
UACGUAGGUGGCAAGCGUUGUCCGGAAUUACUGGGCGUAAAGGGCGCGUAGGCGGUCUUUUAAGUCAGAUGUGAAAACCCGGGGCUCAACCUCGGACCUGCAUUUGAAACUGGGAGACUCGAGUGUCGGAGAGGAAAGCGGAAUUCCUAGUGUAGCGGUGAAAUGCGUAGAUAUUAGGAGGAACACCAGUGGCGAAGGCGGCUUUCUGGACGAUAACUGACGCUGAGGCGCGAAAGCGUGGGGAGCAAAC